rnacentral:rRNA from 1 species
UACGAAGGGGGCGAGCGUUGUUCGGAAUUACUGGGCGUAAAGGGCGCGUAGGCGGCCGAUCAAGUCAGAUGUGAAAGUCCUGGGCUUAACCUGGGGACUGCAUUUGAUACUGAUUGGCUUGAAUGCAGGAGAGGAUAGCGGAAUUCCCAGUGUAGAGGUGAAAUUCGUAGAUAUUGGGAAGAACACCGGUGGCGAAGGCGGCUAUCUGGGAAGAUACUGACGCUGAGGUGCGAAAGCGUGGAGAGCAAACAGG